rnacentral:piRNA from 1 species
ACUGCUAGAACCUGGCCUCUGGCCAU